GGGGCCCCAGAAUCCGGCGCCUGCUGAGGCAGGAGGGUAGGAGAUUCCCUCGCGAGUCAGAAUCGAGGCCAGGGAGAAAGAGUGGGGGUCCCCUGAGAUCCUGAGCCUCGGAGAAGGAAGGGUACGGGGACCUCUAGAGCUCAGCGCCCGGAAGAAUUGGAGGAGACAGCUCCUCCUCCCCCAGCCCAGAAUCUAGGGAGGUGAGGGGUCCGGGGACCCCGGGAGCUCAGGGAGAGAGCGGCGGCCGGUGAGAACUCCUGACCCACCAGACCAAGGAUAUUUGAAAUGUGAAUCCUCGCUCUCUAUCAGCUGUUUUCAUUUGUGAAGAUGAUGAAACUGUGGCUUGGAGACCUUAAAACACUUGCAUGAAGAUGAACUGCAAAUGCCAAGACAGGAGUCACACUUUAAAUGCUGUUUGGCUGGAGGGUCAAGAUUCUUCUCCAAGUGAGAGAAAUGGCAUGGAUGAGGAAGCCGACUGGAGGCAACAGCUUCCAAGUACCUCUACCACUUUUGCAAAGAAUUGCCACCUCUUCCUCCUUCGCCAAGCCCGCCUUUGGAGAUGCGACAGGGAGAGAGGCCUGUGGAAGAACUGGAGGAGAGUGGUGAUUAAAUCACCUUAAAUCUGUUUUAAAAUCUCCAUUUUCAAAAGCUUUCUGUUUCUAACAAUGCUUGACUCUGUGAGAGACACUAGCCCCUUUUCGGAGCCAGCAGAGUAACAGAAUGCAACUUGUAACAGCCUGGCUGGCCUGCUAAGGUAGCAAUUAUAUUUAAAUUUGAGUAUCAGUAACAUUAGCUGGAACCACCUAAAGCAAAGGAAGGAAAGGGUAUCAGAGCACAUUUUCACUCCUUCAGCUGCCCUAGGGGCUAGAAAUGGAAAGUUUUAUGUGACAGAGGGUUUUUUUUUUUUUUAAACUUGAAAUUUUCCUCUCCUUUGAAAAUUAAAGCGGCCUAAUAGAGCCAUAUAUUUGGGCCAAUACAGCAGUAAAUUUAUGAAGUGAAAAAGGGAGGUUUUCAUGGUGUCAUAAGCUCACCCACACUGAGCUUAAAUUUAUUACCUAGACUACUUCAGAUUUAAGUUCUAUUAUAGAUCAAGUGUGCUAUGAAAAAAUUCACUUGAGAUUUUAGAGUUUUUGAAGUGAAAUAGCAGCUUCUAGCAUCCAUGUAAUUUAUGUCUCUUUUAUAGCAAUGUAUGCUCUGAAAACAAAAAUAUCAUGGUCUGAAAAUCAGCUUCAGUUUUGGAUGUACCUGGGUGCAGAAGGUUAGAAAACAUCCAUUUUUAAUGAAGCCAACAUUUUGAAAUUUAGAGUUUAGAAAUCCUUUUUUAACAAAGUCAAUGUUUGGGAUUAUUAUUUUUAAUAUAUAAUGAUGCCUACGUAUCCAUAAACUAUGACAUUUAAUUGGUUAAGGUUGUCGAAAUGGGACCAAAAGUGUUCUUUAACAAGACUUUCUAAAACUUCCCCACAGAGCUCUGUUUAUCCUGACCUGGCAGAGCUGCUGCAUUUCAAUUCAGGGCUUCUUUUGCAUACAGAAGCACAGACUUGCUGAGCUGAGCCAAAUCUGUCGAUCCAAUUACUGGGUAAGAUAGCUGACUGUUGCUUUAGGCAAAACCUGUAAUCUGUAAAACUCUAUAGUAUCAGUGACAGCCUAAUGAAAGGGAAGGACCAAUAGAGUAUAUAUGUUACUUGAGUGAUACUUGUACACAGAUGCAUAGUUCUCUCUACAAAUGACCUGCUUCAAAUCUAACACCAGAGUGCAAUGAAGUAUACAGACCCUUGAAAACGUAUCAUUAGAUAUGUCUGCAAUAAUUUUUGUAUAGAAUGGUUUACUAUCAGAAACCAACUCUCAGCAGUAAAUUGCAGAUCACUUAGCUGAGCAUUAAUUUGAAUGCUUUUAUUACCUUUAAUAAAAUCUGAUUUCGCUAUUCUUGUUCUCAAUAUCUAACCAUUUUAGCGACAUUGGAAUGGGUGGUAAACUUUUAUUUUGCUGAAAUUCAUGCUAUUUGUAAAGAGAAUGAAUUCAAGAACAAUAUUUGAUUACAUUUUAUCACACAAAAUUCAAUAAUGAUUUCAAUUUAAGAUAAAAAGUUAAUCUCUAUAAAAACUUAAUGUUAAGUGAAAGAGGCCAGAUAUCAAAAAUGUGCAUACUGCAUCAUGCUAUUUACAUAAAAUACAAAGUCAAAAAUUUAUCUAUCAUGUUGAGGUCAGGAGAGGGAAUAUUUUGGGGGGCGAGAGGAAGGCAUAGUGGUCUUUUGAGGUGCUAAUAAUGUUCUGUUUCUUGACCUGGUUUCUAGUUAUACAGCUGUGUUCAUUGUUCAUUUUGUGAUAAUUCAUUGAGCCAUACAUUUACUGUGUACUUUUCAGUAUGUGUGUGAUAAGUGAAUUUAAAACAUGAAAAAGGUUAAUCUCUACAAUAUUACAUUAGUGUUUAGAAGGGGUUAAUAAAUAUGAGUGUGGAUGUGGAGCUUUUGAGCCGAAUAUUAAUUUCGUACUCACAAAACACAGAACUAGUAAAAAAAAAAUUAAGAAAUUGAGAUUACUUCUAUUUUAGUUUUAAAAAAUAAUUCCAUUUUUCCAUGCAAAAAGAAAAUUUAUUUACACUAUAUUGGAUUGCAAUGGGAAAGUGGUUUUUUUUUUUCUCAUGCAUGGAAGUACAGGCAAGAAUAAAAUCAGGGCAGGGUAUACUUAAGAUAUUUUAAUUCAUGUUAUCAGUAUAUCUUAUAAGAAACCCAAAACCUGUGUAAGCAAGGUUUUGCUGGGCCCAGCAUUUUUAGUGGUAAUGAAGUUUCAUGGCCAUUAUCAUGACCAUCUGGUAAUCAAUACCUGGGAUAUCUACUCCAGUAGAAAUAAAAACCCUGUUAAAAUGUUUCCAUUUAUAGCACCCCCCCCCACACACACUUUUUUUUUUUUGGUAGAGGUGGGAGCAGAUAAUAGAUAACUCAGUAAAUGUAUGUCUCUACGGUCCAACGGCCAUACAAUUUUUAAUAGAUAAUGGCUUAACUUAAUUUUUCACUUGUUUUAAUUUCUUAUAAAAUAACAGCAAAAAAUUCCAUGGGAAUUUAGCCUCAUUCCAUACUGGCAAGGCAAAUGACUUAACUCUUAAUUCUUUUAUUCAUCCCACCAAUGUUUAAUGAGGGCUUUCUAUCUGCCAGGCCAUGUGGAAAUGGUGAUGCAGGAAACAUGGGCUUUGUCCCCCAGCUUACAAUCUAAAGGGGUACUUAAUUAUUCACUCAGCAAACAUUUUUAAAGUGGCUACACCAAACUCUGUUCUAGGCUCUGAGGAUCUUGAGAAAGAAAGGGGGACAUUACCAAAAUCCCUGUUUUUGUGGGAUUUACAUUCCAUGGGGGGAAGACAAACAAUGAACAUAAUAUUUAAAGAAGUUUUCUAUAUUUAAAGUGUGUUUCUGGUACACAGUGGAUAGUAGGCUCCUCAAUCUUUGUUUUUUGUUUUUUUUUUCUUUUUUCACUGAUAUGUGGUAUAUAAAACUGAAAACAACAAAGG